UUACAAGAGGUCAAAACUUUCGACUCCAACCAGCUGGUUUCUAUCCAUUUUACUUUUCUCUUCUUUGUAGACAAAAUUAAAGCAUCUAGAUUCAAUCAAUUUUUUCACCUUAAUUAACUGAUUGGAUUCAAUAUUUCUUGGUUUUUCUAUCACCUUCUUGUGAAAAUUAUCUGGCUCUAUCCAUUUCCAGCAGGGAAUUUAUCCCUUAUAUAUAUAUAUACCCACCUCUCCCUUUCAUUUCCAGAUCCUCGAUCCCUUCGCACCAAUGACCACCGCUACUCUUACAGCCGCCCUCCUCGUCUUAUUCACUCUCCUCUACGUCUCUACAACCACCUUCGCCAUCGGAGUAAACUAUGGAACUCUAGCCAACAACCUGCCACCACCUUCCCAGGUGGCCAACUUCCUCAAAACACAAACAAUCAUAGACAGCAUCAAAAUCUUUGACACUAAUCCUGAUAUUCUUCGAGCUUUUGCCAACACUAACAUUUCCGUCACAGUCACCGUCGGUAAUGGUGAUAUUCCGGCUCUUUCCGACGAACGGGCUGCCCGCCGGUGGGUUGCUGACAACAUUAAACCAUAUUAUCCACAGACAAGGAUUAAUCGGAUUGCUGUCGGAAAUGAAAUCUUAAUGUCUGCAGUGCAGGAUUGGAUUGCUCAUCUUGUGCCUUGCAUGAAAGCCCUCCACCAUGCUCUUGUUCUUGCUGGAAUCAAGGAUGUGAAGGUCUCGACACCUCACACCCUCGGAAUCCUUUACAAUUCUGUACCACCAAGUGCUGCUCGGAUAAGGCCUGGUUACCAGAAAUCCAUAUUUGCACCCAUGCUUGCGUUUCUACGUGAAACCAAAUCGCCUCUCAUGGUUAAUCCAUACCCUUAUUUUAGCUACGCUCCAAAAGUGGCAAAAUACAUUCUUUUCCAGCCAAACCGUGGCAUCCAUGACAGAUUCACCGGCAUCACCUAUUCUAACAUGUUUGAUGCGAUGAUGGAUGCCGUUUACUCUGCGAUUAAAGCAAUGGGCUAUCCUGAUGUGGACAUCUUGGUAGCUGAGACCGGUUGGCCCUCCGCCGGUGACCCGAACCAGCCGGCUUGUACGGUGGAGAAUGCGAUUGCGUAUAAUGGGAAUUUGAUCAAGCAUGUCACUUCAGGGAAAGGUACUCCGUUGAUGCCAAACCGGAGGUUCGAGACGUAUCUUUUUGCCUUAUUUAAUGAGAAUCUGAAGCCUGGAACUUCUGCCGAGAGGAAUUGGGGUUUGUUCAGGCCAGAUUUUAGCCCUGUUUACAAUGUUGGGAUCUUGCGCAAUGAACAGACCAAUGCACCAAAUCCAAAACCAACACCAAUACCAACUCCAGCAGGGAAGAAAUGGUGUGUGCCAAAACCACAAGCUAAUGAUCAACAAUUGCAAGCAAACAUAGACUACAUAUGCAGCCAAGGUGUAGAUUGCAAGCCCAUCCAAGCUGGUGGUGUCUGCUUUGAUCCAAACAAUGUCAGGUCCCAUGCAUCAUUUGUUAUGAACUCCUUCUAUCAGACCCAUGGCCGGAAUGAUUUCAACUGUGAUUUCUCUCAAACCGGUGUCCUCACCACAGCUGACCCAAGUCACGGGACAUGUAAAUACAUUUGAGAUAAUGAGAUUAAGUUUAGGUCUUCAAUGCCUGUUGGGAGGAGCGAUGCCCUUAUAACCAAAAUCAGAGGAAAUUUAGGCAUUUAAUUUAUCUGUUCAUUCUUUUUGUUUCGAGUUAUUAUACAUGCAAUCAAGGCUGCAGUAUUGUAAUUGCCCUGCUAAAGCUGCAAUUCUUACCCCAAGAAAAAGCAUUGUUGCCUAAACGCAUAUUGACAUGAAUAAUUUACACAGAAUUAUAGAUUCUUCAUUGAUGGCUUUAACAAUUGUAAUUCAAUAUUACUACUCUGAAUUUUCAUCUGCAUCAAAUUUUAUAACUGAAUGUUUAAUUCCAUAGGAACAAGUUAUAAAUGUAU
rnacentral:misc_RNA from 1 species